UACGGAGGGUGCAAACGUUGCUCGGAAUCAUUGGGCGUAAAGCGCACGUAGGCGGCUUGUUAAGUCGGAUGUGAAAGCCCUCGGCUCAACCGAGGAAGUGCAUACGAAACUGGCGAGCUUGAAUAUGGAAGAGGGUCGCGGAAUUCCCGGUGUAGAGGUGAAAUUCGUAGAUAUCGGGAGGAACACCGGUGGCGAAGGCGGCGAUCUGGGUAGAUACUGACGCUGAGGUGCGAAAGCGUGGGGAGCAAACAGG
rnacentral:rRNA from 1 species